rnacentral:lncRNA from 1 species
AGGAACAAGAUGGGGACUGGGCAGGAGAGGCCAGGAGAGCUAGGUGCUGGCGGGCCAGCGGCGUCCCUGGCCCCCGGGAGCGUUCAGUGGGCCCCGCUGAACUGGAAAGGAACAGACUUGAGAGGGGACGUGAUGCAACAGUCCUUAUUCCAAGGCCACAGGCUGCUAGCUUCCCCCGCCCCUGCCUGGGAGACCCCGCAGCUGGGCCUGAUAUUAGGAAUCGCUGCUGUUCCCCAAGCGCUUGCUGUCUGCCAGGCGCUGCCAGAGAGCUCAGGAUGCUCGCUCUAUGGCGGCUGCCGCGGCCUCCUUCGGGGGACCCCGCGCCAACACGGUCCUGGAACGUGUGGAAGGCGCUCAGCAGCGGUGGAAGCUGCAGGUGCAGGAGCAACGGAAGACGGUCUUCGAUCGGCACAAGAUGCUCAGCUAGAGGGCCCGGCACAGUCGGGCCAAGGACCAGCGGCCACGGCUGGAUAGAGCCAGGGGCCACUCUCCCCUCCUUCGACGCCACCCUUCCUGGGUCUUCCCUUUAAAAGCCUGUGGCGUUUUUUCCUCCUUCUGCCCCUCUUUAGAAACGUUGUUCUCAGCUGAGUUAAUUCCGGAAGCGUGAUGGGGUCCCCGAUCUCUCGUUCGCCUGCUCAGGUCUUGGGGGUUUGUGGGGGGAAGGCAGGCCAAGAGGGGAUGGAGGCGUCCGUCUCAGGCGGCCUCAGGGUUGGAAGGAGCCUCUCUCUCAUUGCUCCACCCUUGCCACCUCUCCGGCUCCAAAUCCCGGGAAGGUUCCAGCCUCUGGAAGGUGGAGCUGGGUCGUCAGGACCUCGGUGUGUGGGAGGAAAGCCUGGCCCCUGCCACCUGUGCUGCUUUCUGCUGUGGUUGUGGUGGCUGCCUUCCUCGCCACCCCGAGACGUCAGCCCCCGAGCACCCAUCCCCUCUUCCUCCUCCCUCCUCUCCUCCCCUGACGCAUGGUGGUGGCCGUGCACCCUGCCUCCUCUCGGCCCGGCCCUCCCGCCCACUCAGGAGGCCAGGCAGGCCCCUUGCCUCCCUGUGUGUGUUGUCACUGAGCCAGACGGGUGGUGGGACCACGCGGCACAAGGCCGGGCGGUGGCUCUGAAUGCCACAGCCUUGGGGCACCACGCAUCCCUGAAUUUCCUUGUAGCGUGCAUGGGCAGACAUGUUUGUCUACCGUUGUCUGUAAGUCAAGGAAGCCAUCAUUAAAUUGUCUUAUUUCUCACUUUCUGGAUUUCAAGAGACUUAGAGAACUGAGUGUCCCACGUGUGGCCUGGUGAGUCCUGUGUCCCAGAGAGGGGACGGAGCGUCAUCUUGGCGGGUCCAGAAGAGAGGCAGACGUGGCAGUCCUGGUGGCCAGGGCAGAGCCCACGGGGAGUCCAUGUGGAGGCCCCCUGAUGGGGAGAGACUGGCCACGGGGCCUGCUCCUCACGGCUCCCUGCCCUGCGAGGGGUGGGGAGCGGACUAGCCCCGGGAGUGACCCGGAAACAGGAUCCGUGUUUGUCUUU